rfam:Salinisphaera shabanensis E1L3A Contig24, whole genome shotgun sequence.
AGAAAGGCCGGACCGAGGAGGGUUUGAACCGAGCGGUUCGACGAGGGCGCGGAGCGGCCGAGAACGGUCGCGUGACGCGACCGGCCCGUAGGGUGAGCGCCGAAGGCGCGAAUAAUCCUCCUCCCUCCACCA